UACGAAGGGGGCUAGCGUUGUUCGGAAUUACUGGGCGUAAAGCGCACGUAGGCGGACUAUUAAGUCAGGGGUGAAAUCCCGGGGCUCAACCCCGGAACUGCCUUUGAUACUGGUAGUCUCGAGUCCGAGAGAGGUGAGUGGAAUUCCGAGUGUAGAGGUGAAAUUCGUAGAUAUUCGGAGGAACACCAGUGGCGAAGGCGGCUCACUGGCUCGGUACUGACGCUGAGGUGCGAAAGCGUGGGGAGCAACAGGG
rnacentral:rRNA from 1 species